GAAUAAUAUUCAAAACUUUUAUUAGUUUGUAAAUGACUCUUCGUUAGGAGGCUUAAAUACAAUUUUUCUUAUAAAAACAAUCCAUAGUGAUGUGAUACGCUACUACUCAGUUCAUUCUUAGAAACACAUUAGGGUCACCCGUGUCAAUCUCUAUCAGGUCCAUCAUGGGUGAAACCGAGUCCUGUGAAAGAGGGGCUAGAUGUUGCUGAGGAGGAACUGAGUGGCCCUAUAACGGUGCCAGAUGAUAUGGUGGGGGCUCCAAUUUGUAUUGUGACGGUGUCAGAUGAUAUGACGGAGGAGCAUAAUUGCAUCGAGGUGGCGUUAGAUCCUCUCGUUGUAGGGGUGGCUCAUAUUGUGGAAGUGGUAGAGGUCAGACAAUUCCCUCAUCUCUUCCUUGGCCUACUUUACAGAUAUGAGUCUCUUUAAAAUUUCGAAGAGCUGAUCGACAUCCUCUUGAAGCGACUCGUCUCGCUGCCCUAUU
rnacentral:lncRNA from 1 species